rnacentral:rRNA from 1 species
GAUGAACGCUAGCGGCAGGCCUAACACAUGCAAGUCGAGGGAGAGGUUACCUUCGGGUAACCAAAACCGGCGCACGGGUGCGUAACGCGUAUACAAUCUGCCUUUCACAUAGGGAUAGCCCGAAGAAAUUUGGAUUAAUACCUAAUGGGAUAUAAGAGCGGCAUCGUUUUUAUAUUAAAGCUACGGUGGUGAAAGAUGAGUAUGCGUUCUAUUAGCUAGUUGGAGAGGUAACGGCUCCCCAAGGCGACGAUAGAUAGGGGUUCUGAGAGGGAUGUCCCCCACACUGGUACUGAGAUACGGACCAGACUCCUACGGGAGGCAGCAGUGAGGAAUAUUGGACAAUGGUCGGAAGACUGAUCCAGCCAUGCCGCGUGCAGGAUGAAGGUCCUAUGGAUUGUAAACUGCUUUUGUAAGGGAAGAAUAAGGAGUACGUGUACUUUGAUGACGGUACCUUACGAAUAAGCAUCGGCUAACUCCGUG